GUGGGGAAUAUUGCACAAUGGGCGAAAGCCUGAUGCAGCAACGCCGCGUGAGUGAUGAAGGCCUUCGGGUCGUAAAGCUCUUUGAUCAGGGAUGAUAAUGACAGUACCUGAAAAACAAGCCACGGCUAACUACGUGCCAGCAGCCGCGGUAAUACGUAGGUGGCGAGCGUUGUCCGGAAUUACUGGGCGUAAAGGAUGCGUAGGUGGAUACUUAAGUGGGAUGUGAAAUCCCCGGGCUCAACCCGGGAACUGCAUUCCAAACUGGGUAUCUAGAGUGCAGGAGAGGAAAGCGGAAUUCCUAGUGUAGCGGUGAAAUGCGUAGAUAUUAGGAGGAACACCAGUGGCGAAGGCGGCUUUCUGGACUGUAACUGACACUGAGGCAUGAAAGCGUGGGUAGCAAACAGGAUUAGAUACCCCGGUAGUCC
rnacentral:rRNA from 1 species